GAUGAAGAACGUAGCGAAAUGCGAUAAGUAAUGUGAAUUGCAGAAUUCAGUGAAUCAUCGAAUCUUUGAACGCACAUUGCGCCCCUUGGUAUUCCGAGGGGCAUGCCUGUUCGAGCGUCAUUAUAACCCCUCAAGCUCAGCUUGGUGUUGGGGCCUGCUGCACUGGCAGCCCUUAAAAUCAGUGGCGGUGCCAUCUGGCUCUAAGCGUAGUAAUUCUUCUCGCUAUGGAGUCCUGGUGGAUGCUUGCCAUCAACCCCCAAUUUUUCUAUGGUUGACCUCGGAUCAGGUAGGGAUACCCGCUGAACUUAAGCAUAUAAUAAGCGGAGGA
rnacentral:misc_RNA from 1 species